CCCCACGCUAUACCUUACCCCCCCUAGCCACCCAGCCUAUAUACCGCCGUCGCCAGCUCACACUGUGAAUGCACCACCGUAAGCUAAAUCAUCAACCAUUGAAACGACAGGUCAAGGUGUAGUUCAUGGGGGGGCCAGUGAUGGGCUACAUUUUCUUCACUAGAAAAUACCACCCGCACCGUGAAAUCUCUGCCCACAGGUGGAUUUAGAAGUAAGCCCUGACAAGAUAUGUCAACCUGAACAAGCCCUGGGACGA
rnacentral:rRNA from 1 species